AUGCCCCUGCUCUGUGCCCCCCUGGCUGCCACAGCCCCUGACCCCACGCCCUGCUCAGGUGCAAUGGCCAUGAGAGCAGAUGCCAUUGCAGCAGAGAAGCCCAGCUCAGUAGUGAGCCGCACACAGCCAGAAGGUGGGGGCCACCCCAACUCUACCUGGGGGGCUCUUGGCUCUCAGGCCACAGGGGCCUCUGGCCACCUGGCCUCAGCCACCACCACCGCCCCGAAGGUCUUUCCACUGUCUUCCUCACUGUGUGAGGCCACAUCUGGCUCCACAAUCUCCCUGGGCUGCCUGGUAUCUGGCUACUUCCCUGAGCCGGUGACUGUGUCCUGGAACUCAGGAUCCCUGACCAGCGGCGUGCACACCUUCCCCUCCGUCCUUCAGUCCUCUGGGCUCUACUCUCUGAGCAGCAUGGUGACAGCGCCUGCCAGCAGCUCAUUCGGCCAGACGUACACCUGCAACGUAGUCCACCCAGCCAGCAACACCAAGUUGGAAAAGACCGGUGAGCACUCAGCCACCAGGGGACAUCCACUAGGAGACAGGCCUGGGCAGCCUCCUGCCUGGAUAGACCACAGGACAGGGGUGGCUUCCCCGGCCUAGAGCAGCUGGGGAGGCACUGACAGUCUCCCCAUCCUGAAGGCCCCCCAAGCCCAGGGAGAGGUCCUCUGGACAUUUCCACCAGGCCCAGGGUGGGCACAGGCUAGACACCCUUACCCUAGCCUCAGGGACCCUGGAGAAGGAUGCUGGUCUCACACCUGCCCAGCUCUGG